UCUCCUGUAGCUCAGUGGUAGUGUGUCCGACUGGUGUGCAGAAGGUCAUAUGUGUAGGUUCGACUCCUGUUGGGGAAA